rnacentral:rRNA from 2 species
AUUCGAGACGCGAAGAACUUACCUGGUCUUGACAUCCCGUUGACCACUGUAAAGAUAUAGGUUUUCCCUUCGGGGACAACGGUGACGGGUGGUGCGUGGGUGUCGUCAUCUCGUGUCGUGAGAUGUUGGGUUAAGUCCCGCAACGAGCGCAACCCUUAUUCUUAUUUGCCAUCAUUUAGUUGGGCACUCUAAGGAGACUGCCGGUGACAAACCGGAGGAAGGUGGGGAUGACGUCAAAUCAUCAUGCCCCUUAUGACCUGGGCUACACACGUGCUACAAUGGACGAUACAAACGGUUGCCAACCCGCGAGGGGGAGCUAAUCCGAUAAAAUCGUUCUCAGUUCGGAUUGUAGGCUGCAACUCGCCUACAUGAAGCCGGAAUCGCUAGUAAUCGUGGAUCAGCAUGCCACGGUGAAUCGUUUUCCCGGGCAAA